AUGGCUGUCGUCAGCUCGUGUCGUGAGAUGUUGGGUUAAGUCCCGCAACGAGCGCAACCCUUGUCCUGUGUUGCCAUACCGCAAGGUGGAACUCGCAGGAGACCGCCAGGGAUAACCUGGAGGAAGGUGGGGAUGACGUCAAGUCCUCAUGGCCUUUAUGUCUAGGGCUACACACGUGCUACAAUGGACGGUACAAAGCGUCGCCAACCCGCGAGGGGGAGCUAAUCGCAAAAAACCGUUCUCAGUUCGGAUUGCAGGCUGCAACUCGCCUGCAUGAAGCUGGAAUCGCUAGUAAUGCUAUAUCAGAACGAUAGCGUGAAUACGUUCCCGGGCCUUGUACACACCGCCCGUCACACCACGAAAGUCGGCAAUACCCGAAGCCGGUGGCCUAACCCGCAAGGGAGGGAGCCGUCGAAGGUAGGGUCGAUGAUUGGGGUGAAGUCGUAACAAGGUAGCCGUAGCGGAAGCUGCGGCUGGAUCACCUCCUUUCUAGGGAUACCGGAGCAAUUACAUCCGGUAGGCGCUCGGCCAGUCUUGAUGGUCCUGUCGGUUUAUCGACGGAGCCGUCCUGUACCCGAGUUCGCCUAGAAGAACGUCGACCUCGACGAACGCUGUUGAGUUUUGAGAGACCGGGCUCUUGUAUUUAAGAGCGUAUGGCCGGUUCUCCGAUGGGCGGACCAGUCCGCGUGCACCUUGAAAACUCCAUAGCAGUAACUAGCGAGUUCUUCACGAUCAAGAGACUAAGAGCACACGGUGGAUGCCUUGGCGCCUGAUGCCGAUGAAGGACGUGGGUGGCUGCGAUAAGCCACGGGGAGCUGCCGACCGAGCUUCGAUCCGUGAAUGUCCGAAUGGGGAAACCCGG
rnacentral:sRNA from 1 species